GGCGCUGUGGGCUGCUGGGCUCAGGCCUAGAGGCGCCCUUCAAAACGAACAGCCUGGGUGCUGUGGAGGGCACGUUGAUGGCAGCAAAAGGAAGACAGGCUACUGGACAGAAAGGGACGGGUCCCAGUGAAGCCCCACCUUCAAGCCAGGGAUGGCUUCAAUCCUGGAGGCCGCGCUGUCAGUUCCGGUCGGAGUCUGUGGCCUGGAGUGAGCACUAAUGGUUCUUUUUCCAGGCCCGCCCAUGGCCACCCAUGGACCAAUCAGCAUGCACUUCCUCCCUUCUGAACCCAUAAAAACCCCGCUCCCCGGACGCAGCCGGAGUCACGCGAAGUCGGAAGUACCAGCUGCGGGAAGGAGCUGCCCACUGUGCGUCUUCUCAACUUGUUGGGACAACCUUCCUGCGGAAAGGAGAGACAACCUUCCUGCAGAAAGGAGCUACCUGCUUCAGGUCUACUGAGAGCUGUUCUGCCACUCAAUAAAGCUCUUCUCCAUCUUGCUAAGCCUCCAUUUGUCCGCAAUACCUCAUCUCCCUGGACGCAGGACAAGAACUCAGGACCCGCCUGGAGGUGCCCACAGCAGAAUCCACAUGCCGUCCAUCUGGUCCAGCCUCACGCAGAGCCACAACUGUGCUGGCGCCUGGAGCUGCCAGCCCCACUGCAGCAGCCGGACUGACAUUCAGACGUGGAGCAAGUUGGACUGCAUAGGGACCCACCAGUGAGAUGGACGCUGUCUGUAAACGAUGACUUCUAGGAAGAAAAGAAAAAAUUCUGAUUAAACAGCCAUAUUCAUGCUGGAAGUCUACACUUUGAAUUUCUUGCACUCCAAGAUUCUAACUGUUGACCAGUUAUCAGCUGACAUUCUAUAUAUGUUUGAUGAGUAGCUGAAUGGCUGAAAAGAUUAGUGCAAACUAAAGAAUUACUAAAGUCCUGAAUGUGAUGUUUGGUUAUGUCUAUAAUUUAUAGAAUUUUCCCUAUUAUUUUAAAUGCUAACAUUUCAUGGAAGUAUAUUUGAAUAUAAAAGAUUAUAAAAUUACUAAUCCAGCAUUUUAAAAAUCCCCUGCUGAAUUUCUUAGAAGCAGAUAUAAAUAAUAUAUUCUCUAGGUAAUUUCAUGUAUUUAUUUUUUUCUUUCAUGUUCUAAUUUUGUUGAGACAAAAGGAGGGCUUUUUCUUUCAACCAAAAUAAUCAGAAAUCUUAUCAGUUUAGUAAUUAGGGAUUGAAAUACAAAGCUAGUGAAGUAAGGCUACAUUGCAAAGUCUGAUAGUGUACAGUAGUUUAAUGUUUAUUUCUCUGGCAUCAUGUCCUCUCUGUAAGAGAAUGUGUUGGAAGGUAAGCACAAAUAGUUUUUUGCUUGACAUGCUGUAUUUCGUCAUGCUGCUAAUUAGCACAAACACUUACUCCAAGAAGUGAAAUCAUUACUUUCUCUGGGAGUAACUGAGAGGUUCUUUGUAGUGGAGAAAAAGCCCAGGUGUCCAGCUUGAAAUAGCAAUUACCACCCAGGUGUCUGUCGUAGUAACAACAAAAUACUUUAGCUAAAAAUCCAAGAAGAAGAAUGGAACUGCUUCAUUCUUUCUAUGUUGGAUGGCAUUCACGAAUAUGUAUUAGUAAAUAAAAUAAUUAUCUCUUGCUGUGUAAAAAACUACUUCAAAAUUUAGCAGCUUAAAACAGCAAGCAUUUAUUAUCUCACAUGGUUUCUGAGAGUCAGAAAUCUGGGAGCAGCUGAGCUGGGUGGCUCUAGCUCUGGACGUCUUGUGAGGUUUUACUCCAGCCGUUGCCUGGACAGUCACCUGAAGCUUAGCUGGGGCUGGAGGGUCUGCUUGCAAGCUCCCUCCUCUGGCUGUUGGCAGAAGGCCUCAGUUUCUCACUAUGUGGGCCUCUCCGUAGGACUGCUUGCAACAAGGCAGCUGGUUUCUCUCAGGGUGAAUUAUGAGAGAGAAAGAGAUAAAAAUUGAACGUCUUUUAUAGCAUAAUACCAUCCCUUCUACUAUAUCCUGUUGGUCACAUUGACCAACUCUGGCACAAUGCAGGAAGGAACUACAAAGAGUGUGAAUUCAGGAGGUGGAGACUAUUGGGGGCCAUCUUGGAAGCUGAUAAUCACCAGGUACUAAACUUGUUCCAGGAAGUACCCCAGGCAUAGAUAAUACAUGUAUGAAUAGGACAAUUUAUUUAUUCCUUUUAUUAGUCUUGUGAUCAAUAGAACAUGUAUUUAAUAUCUACUAUAUGCCAGCAUCUGUGUUACACAAAAGGUAUUCUAAAGUAAAUAAGACAUGAGCUUAUCCUUAUAUUCUGGCGGGAGAGAUAAAUAUGUCAGUAAAUAGACAAUGGUGUUCCACUCUAACAUAAAAGAGAUUACACUAAGUAUUGUAGGGGCAUUUUGGAGAGAGGUUGCGUAGAGAAUGUGCAAAGUUGAGCAAUUGCUCCGAAGUGCAUUUGAGUAGGAUAGACAGAGCGAUUAGCGUUGAGAGCUACAGCCACUCAGUAUUUUAGAAGAAUGAAAUAGCAUGCAUAUAGAUUUACUUUUGCAAAUACAGGUGCAACAGUGUCUCUUGCCCUAUGUGCUCUUCUUCAACGUGACCUGGACAUUUUCCCAUCUAGAAUUGGGAUCUAUUUCUCUGUGCUCUUAAAUCUGAGGGUCUUGGGAACUGCCUUCACUAAUAGACUAUGGUAGAAGUGUUGCCAUGCCUUUUUCUGUUAUAGCCUUUAGCUAGCUGCGCAGUUUCUACUGCCUGCCUCUUGGAAUCUAGCUUCCGUGUAAAAAGUGAGACUUCUUUUAGAUACCCUUGCUGCAAGAAGGUAAGCCAAGUGAAGAAAGCCUGGAGGAUGAGAAGCCACAUGAAGAGAGAGAGAGGUCAAGAAGCCCUAAGGCACCAGAUGUGAGUAAAGAAGCUAUUUUGAAGAAGAUUCUUCCACCCCAGCUGAUGCAAUAUUGAUCAGAAACGACCACCCUUUGGAGCCGUUUCUACAUUCCUUACCCCAAAAAAUCAUUAGCAAAAUAAAAAUGAUUGCUUUUAGCUAUUAAAUUUUGGGGUAGCCAGUUGUCCUGCAAGAGAUAACUGAAAUAAUGAGCAUGUCACAUUACAUAAUUAGUAAACCAUAUAAUGGAGCUAGCCUAAAUUACAGACUGGGGCAGGCCAGCGUGAAGCUGGCACAAAAUUCAAUGAAAAACAAAACAUACUUUCUGUGUUCUGCCAAAUGCUGUUAGGAAAGAGGUGGACACACUCAACUCUUCUGAAUGGCAGAGUGGCAUAAUGAGAUUCGUGAUUAGAGAUGAUCAUACUGGGAGAAAUUCAGAAGAUAAGUGACACGGUGGAGACAUUUGAGGAAAGCGGCACCAUUCUUCUUUUAUUAUUAUUAUACUUUAAGUUCUGGAAUACACGUGCAGAACAUGCAGGCUUGUUAGAUAGGUAUACAUGUGCCAUAGUGGUUUGCUGUACCCAUCAACCCAUCAUCUAGGUUUUAAGCCCCACAUGCAUUAGGUAUUUGUCCUAAUGCUCUCCCUCCGCUUGGCCCCAGCGUGUGAUGUUCCCCUCCCUGUGUCCAUGUGUUCUCAUUGUUCAACUCCCACUUAUGAGUGAACAUUCAGAUGCAGCACCGUUCUUAUACGUGCUCUUGAAAUUGACCAUACAAGGAUGAUGAAGGCAGACAAUGGAAGAGUCACAGCAUAGAGAGGAGCAACACACUUAGAAAAAAUUAGUAAUCAGAAUCACGGAGGUUUGAUUAGGAGAAAGGAGUGAGAGAACAAUUGUUGCAGAUGACUCUACAAUGCUUUGCAAUCGUCUAAGAAAGCAAACACAGGAAAAGGAGUAGCUAUAGUGGGGCAAAGGUGGCUAAUGAGUCGGUUUCAAAUGUGUUGAAUUUGAGGUGCCUAUGGGAUUUUUAAUGACUGCAGUCAAGUAUUGGAAAAGCGAUUGUACUAUGGUUUUACUCUGCCAUCAUUUUCCCCUCUCUCACACUUCCUGAUUAUUUUUAAUAGAGGGCAGCAAUCCAAGAGAUGUUGGUUGCUACUGAGUUCCCACUAAUAGCUUCAUACAGAUUCUCACAUUGUAAUGGUCCUAACAUCCCAACAACCCACUUUUCCCAUUUGGUAUUUUUUUUUUGAUAUCUAAUUACAGGCAUAAGAUCUCAGUAAUGACUGGGUUACAUUUUCUGCUAGACAAAUUAUGGACAUAAUUAUAGGCACAUGUUCAGUAUAAUAUCGAAACAUCUGAUGCUUCUAUAGAGAAGAUAAUUGUCAAUCUUUGUAGUGUAAUUAAGUCUAAAUGGGAAUCCUCAUCAUUUUCCAAAUGAGCAAACAGUGAGCUAGUCUUGAUUGGCUGUGUCAUGGCAGCUAGUGAAAUGGAUUUGCUGUGUAGGUUAAUUAGUCAUGUAUGAAUGUCACAACCCUCAGAAAACUCGACAUUAGCUCUAAGUAUUAGAGUUAAUUAGCAGUACAUUGUUGCAACUCUCCAUGAUAUUUACCUGGCUUAUCUUUGGAAAUCUAGCCUUUCAUUUUUUUUUCCUGAAUCUUUCUUCUCAUAGUGAUUCAGAGCAUUUAAAUUUUCUACCCAUGAAUUCCAAUAAACAUGAGAGAGCACAGGAGCAAGGAUUUACAGUGAAACAGACCUGGGUUCAAAUCCCUUUCAAUUUCAUUCUUACAGUGAACAUUUUGACUAUUUACUGUUAAUAUCUCUCAGUUUCAGUAGUUUAUCCAUAAAUACCUGUUUAAUCUUAUUUUUAAUGCUUUUUUAAAUAAACUUGAGGCAUUCAUAAGUCUUUUCC
rnacentral:lncRNA from 1 species